UACGAAGGGGGCUAGCGUUGUUCGGAUUUACUGGGCGUAAAGCGUGCGCAGGCGGUGAUGUAAGACCGAUGUGAAAUCCCCGGGCUUAACCUGGGAACUGCAUUGGUGACUGCAUUGCUGGAGUAUGGCAGAGGGGGGUGGAAUUCCACGUGUAGCAGUGAAAUGCGUAGAUAUGCGGAGGAACACCGAUGGCGAAGGCGACUUCCUGGCCUGUUCUUGACGCUGAGGCGCGAAAGCUAGGGUAGCAAACAGG
rnacentral:rRNA from 1 species